rnacentral:rRNA from 1 species
AUUGAACGCUGGCGGAAUGCUUUACACAUGCAAGUCGAGCGGCAGCGCGGGGCAACCUGGCGGCGAGCGGCGAACGGGUGAGUAAUGUAUCGGAACGUGUCCUGUCGUGGGGGAUAGCCCGGUGAAAACCGGAUUAAUACCGCAUACGAUCGAGAGAUGAAAGUGGGGGACCGCAAGGCCUCACGCGAUAGGAGCGGCCGAUAUCUGAUUAGCUAGUUGGUGGGGUAAAGGCCCACCAAGGCUUCGAUCAGUAGCUGGUCUGAGAGGAUGAUCAGCCACGCUGGGACUGAGACACGGGCCAGACUCCUACGGGAGGCAGCAGUGGGGAAUUUUGGACAAUGGGGGCAACCCUGAUCCAGCCAGUCCGCGGGAGUGAAGAAGGCCUUCGUGUUGUAAAGCUCUUUUGUCCGGGAAGAAACGGUUUUGGCUAAUAACCAAGACUACUGACGGUACCGGAAGAAUAAGGACCGGCUAACUACGUGCCAGCAGCCGCGUAA